rnacentral:rRNA from 1 species
UGGGGAAUAUUGGACAAUGGGCGCAAGCCUGAUCCAGCCAUGCCGCGUGAGUGAUGAAGGCCCUAGGGUUGUAAAGCUCUUUCACCGGUGAAGAUAAUGACGGUAACCGGAGAAGAAGCCCCGGCUAACUUCGUGCCAGCAGCCGCGGUAAUACGAAGGGGGCUAGCGUUGUUCGGAUUUACUGGGCGUAAAGCGCACGUAGGCGGACUUUUAAGUCAGGGGUGAAAUCCCGGGGCUCAACCCCGGAACUGCCUUUGAUCCUGGAAGUCUUGAGUAUGGUAGAGGUGAGUGGAAUUCCGAGUGUAGAGGUGAAAUUCGUAGAUAUUCGGAGGAACACCAGUGGCGAAGGCGGCUCACUGGACCAUUACUGACGCUGAGGUGCGAAAGCGUGGGGAGCAAACAGG